AUUGAACGCUGGCGGCAUGCCUUACACAUGCAAGUCGAACGGUAACAGGUCUUCGGAUGCUGACGAGUGGCGAACGGGUGAGUAAUACAUCGGAACGUGCCUAGUAGUGGGGGAUAACUACUCGAAAGAGUGGCUAAUACCGCAUGAGAUCUACGGAUGAAAGCAGGGGAUCGCAAGACCUUGUGCUACUAGAGCGGCCGAUGGCAGAUUAGGUAGUUGGUGGGAUAAAAGCUUACCAAGCCGACGAUCUGUAGCUGGUCUGAGAGGACGAUCAGCCACACUGGGACUGAGACACGGCCCAGACUCCUACGGGAGGCAGCAGUGGGGAAUUUUGGACAAUGGGCGAAAGCCUGAUCCAGCAAUGCCGCGUGCAGGAUGAAAGCCUUCGGGUUGUAAACUGCUUUUGUACGGAACGAAAAGCCCCGGGUUAAUACCCUGGGGUCAUGACGGUACCGUAAGAAUGAGCACCGGCUAACUACGUGCCAGCCGCCGCGUAA
rnacentral:rRNA from 1 species